CGCAACUCUCAGAAUGGCCACAAAGGGGCGCGAGUCUCAGACUGGCCGGGAAGGAGCGUAAAUGGGCUCCGAUGGCCUCGGGCGUUGGUUACGGGGUUGGGUUAGCCCUGCGGUACAAACAAACAAAGCAAAGCUAACCCAACCCCGUAAGCAAGGCAAAGCUAAAGCCAAUUUGGGCAAGAUCAAUUGACUGCACCUGCCAAAAUCGGCGCAACUCUCAGAAUGGCCACAAAGGGGCGCGAGUCUCAGACUGGCCGGGAAGGAGCGCAAAUGGGCUCCGAUGGCCUCGGGCGUUGGUUACGGGGUUGGGUUAGCCCUGCGGUACAAACAAACAAAGCAAAGCUAACCCAACCCCGUAAGCAAGGCAAAGCUAAAGCCAAUUUGGGCAAGAUCAAUUGACUGCACCUGCCAAAAUCGGCGCAACUCUCAGAAUGGCCACAAAGGGGCGCGAGUCUCAGACUGGCCGGGAAGGAGCGCAAAUGGGCUCCGAUGGCCUCGGGCGUUGGUUACGGGGUUGGGUUAGCCCUGCGGUACAAACAAACAAAGCAAAGCUAACCCAACCCCGUAAGCAAGGCAAAGCUAAAGCCAACUUAUUUGCAAUGCAUUAACUGCAA
ensembl:lncRNA